ACGCAGCGUGCGGGAUGACGGCCUUCGGGUUGUAAACCGCUUUCAGCAGGGAAGAAGCCGUAAGGUGACGGUACCUGCAGAAGAAGUACCGGCUAACUACGUGCCAGCAGCCGCGGUAAUACGUAGGGUACGAGCGUUGUCCGGAAUUAUUGGGCGUAAAGAGCUCGUAGGUGGUUGGUCACGUCUGCUGUGGAAACGCAACGCUUAACGUUGCGCGUGCAGUGGGUACGGGCUGACUAGAGUGCAGUAGGGGAGUCUGGAAUUCCUGGUGUAGCGGUGAAAUGCGCAGAUAUCAGGAGGAACACCGGUGGCGAAGGCGGGACUCUGGGCUGUAACUGACACUGAGGAGCGAAAGCAUGGGGAGCGAACAGGAUUAGAUACCCUGGUAGUCCAUGCCGUAAACGUUGGGCACUAGGUGUGGGGGACAUUCCACGUUCUCCGCGCCGUAGCUAACGCAUUAAGUGCCCCGCCUGGGGAGUACGGUCGCAAGGCUAAAACUCAAAGGAAUUGACGGGGGCCCGCACAAGCGGCGGAGCAUGCGGAUUAAUUCGAUGCAACGCGAAGAACCUUACCAAGGCUUGACAUACACUGGACCGUUCUGGAAACAGUUCUUCUCUUUGGAGCUGGUGUACAGGUGGUGCAUGGUUGUCGUCAGCUCGUGUCGUGAGAUGUUGGGUUAAGUCCCGCAACGAGCGCAACC
rnacentral:rRNA from 1 species